ACCCACAAUACUAAAUGGGCAGGCAAUGGUAACUUCUCGGAUAGCCCGGUUCAAGUGCAACAGUGGCUUUAGGUUGGCUGGAAUGCCAUUUUCGGUGUGUGCCAAUGGGACAUGGAUGUUCAAGAGAGCAUGCAUACCUUUGAAACAAGGCGAACUACCAGUUCCCAAGAUUUCCCUUCACCUAUAUCCGUCAGCUCUCCAUCAGGAUGCAUGCAAGGGAACCUCUCACAGUUGUCACAAGGAUGCGCUGUGCUUAAACACACACAGCACUUUUACUUGCACUUGUCUUCCAGG